CAGAAAACUGAGGGCUUUAUAUGCAGAAUCAGUAAUGUGUUUGCUUUAUUUUCAUCUUUUAUAACCUAUUUCUAAAUAUCCUUCUCCCUUCUCUAAUCCCUCCAUCCCAUCACCAAAUGAGAAGUAAGCAGAGUAAUAUUAAAUAGAUGAGAUUUUCACUUAAGAAUUUGAAGAUUUUGCUGUUGAGAAAAAUACUAAAGUCUUAACCCUAUAAUAAUGAGUUUCCUAACUGAUGUCAGAAAAAUUCUGAACAUGACCAUGGCCAAUGUUCUUCAAAUCUACAGAGCAACAAGAACAACCAAAAUGAGAAAUAGUAGAUUCU
rnacentral:lncRNA from 1 species